rnacentral:rRNA from 1 species
AAUGGGCGAAAGCCUGACCGAGCAAUGCCGCGUGCGGGAUGAAGGCCCUCGGGUUGUAAACCGCAAAAGUGAGGAGGAAGGCCCCGUGAAGAGCGGGGCUUGACCGAGCCACAGUAAGGACGGGCUAAGUUCGUGCCAGCAGCCGCGGUAACACGAACCGUCCAAACGUUAUUCGGAAUCACUGGGCUUAAAGGGUGCGUAGGCGGCGCAUUAAGUCGGGUGUGAAAUCCCUCGGCUCAACCGAGGAACUGCGCCCGAUACUGAUGUGCUUGAGGGAGACAGGGGUGAGCGGAACUGAUGGUGGAGCGGUGAAAUGCGUUGAUAUCAUCAGGAACACCGGUGGCGAAAGCGGCUCACUGGGUCUCUUCCGACGCUGAGGCACGAAAGCUAGGGUAGCGAACGGGAUU